GCACGGUUGGGUUUCGGCCUGGCAGUGGCGGACGGGUGAGUAGCGCGUAGGAACGUGUCCUUGGGUGGGGGAUAACCGUGGGAAACUGCGGCUAAUACCGCAUGAGACCUGAGGGUUAAAGGCAGUGAUGUUGCCUGGGGAGCGGCCUGCGUACGAUUAGCUAGUUGGUUGGGUAAUGGCUGACCAAGGCGACGAUCGUUAGCUGGUCUGAGAGGAUGAUCAGCCACACUGGGACUGAGACACGGCCCAGACUCCUACGGGAGGCAGCAGUGGGGAAUAUUGGACAAUGGGCGAAAGCCUGAUCCAGCAAUGCCGCGUGGGUGAAGAAGGUUUUCGGAUUGUAAAGCCCUUUCGGCGGGGACGAUGAUGGCGGUACCCGCAGAAGAAGCUCCGGCUAACUUCGUGC
rnacentral:rRNA from 1 species